GAAGGUAUAGCUCAAGUGGUAGAGCACAUGCUUAACAUGCAUGAGGCCCUGGGUUCAAUCCCCAGUACCUCCA
rnacentral:tRNA from 1 species